UACGGGGGGGGCAAGCGUUGUUCGGAAUUACUGGGCGUAAAGGGCUCGUAGGUGGCCAACUAAGUCAGACGUGAAAUCCCUCAGCUUAACUGGGGAACUGCGUCUGAUACUGGAUGGCUUGAGUUUGGGAGAGGGAUGCGGAAUUCCAGGUGUAGCGGUGAAAUGCGUAGAUAUCUGGAGGAACACCGGUGGCGAAGGCGGCAUCCUGGACCAAUACUGACACUGAGGAGCGAAAGCCAGGGGAGUAAACGGG
rnacentral:rRNA from 1 species